rnacentral:rRNA from 1 species
AUUGAACGCUGGCGGCAUGCCUUACACAUGCAAGUCGAACGGUAACAGGUCUUCGGAUGCUGACGAGUGGCGAACGGGUGAGUAAUACAUCGGAACGUGCCUAGUAGUGGGGGAUAACUAAUCGAAAGAGUGGCUAAUACAGCAUGAGAUCUACGGAUGAAAGCAGGGGAUCGCAAGACCUUGUGCUACUAGAGCGGCCGAUGGCAGAUUAGGUAGUUGGUGGGAUAAAAGAUUACCAAGCCGACGAUUUGUAGCUGGUCUGAGAGGACGAUCAGCCACACUGGGACUGAGACACGGACCAGACUCCUACGGGAGGCAGCAGUGGGGAAUUUUGGACAAUGAGCGCAAGCCUGAUCCAGCAAUGCCGCGUGCAGGAUGAAGGCCUUCGGGUUGUAAACUGCUUUUGUACGGAACGAAAAGCCCUGGGUUAAUACCCUGGGGUCAUGACGGUACCGUAAGAAUAAGCACCGGCUAACUACGUGCCAGCCGCCGCGGUAA